rnacentral:rRNA from 1 species
ACUUAAAUUGAAGAGUUUGAUCAUGGCUCAGAUUGAACGCUGGCGGCAGGCCUAACACAUGCAAGUCGAGCGGAAACGGCAGCAUUGAAGC